rnacentral:rRNA from 1 species
AGGGUUUGAUUAUGGCUCAGGAUGAACGCUGGCGGCGUGCUUAACACAUGCAAGUCGAACGAAGAUGCCGGAGUGCUUGCACUUUGGCAGACUGAGUGGCGGACGGGUGAGUAACGCGUGGGUAACCUGCCUUAUACAGGGGGAUAACAGUUGGAAACGACUGCUAAUACCGCAUAAGCGCACGGUAUCGCAUGAUACAGUGUGAAAAACUCCGGUGGUAUAAGAUGGACCCGCGUCUGAUUAGCUUGUUGGUGAGGUAACGGCCCACCAAGGCGACGAUCAGUAGCCGGCCUGAGAGGGUGAACGGCCACAUUGGGACUGAGACACGGCCCAA